AGCACGCUGACAGAAUGCUUAACACAUGCAAGUCGAUUCGAUUUACCUUCGGGUAUUGAGGAUGGCGGACGGGUGAGUAACGCGUAAGGAACUUGCCUCUUGGACUGGGACAACUGUUGGAAACGACAGCUAAUACCGGAUAUUAUGAGAUUCUCGC
rnacentral:rRNA from 1 species